rnacentral:lncRNA from 1 species
CCUCCUCCGGGGACAUGCCGGUGCUCAGACGGGCUCUGACGCACCGAGUGCUCAGCCCAGGGCCUGGCACCAGGAGUCACUGGGAACCAAAUCCGAGACCUCCCAUGAGGGAGGUAGACACCCAACUGCUUGAGCAGUUGACUGCAUCUAUGGUUGAUGACAUCUUAAUCAACUAAGGAGAUUGCCUUCAGCAGUGAGAGAAGUCUCACCCAAUCGGUUGGAGGCCUUAAAGGAAGAACUGAUGGUUUCAGCAGUCAGAAAGAAUUUCUGUUUCCACCUCACCCAGCCAGCUUCUCCUGGGGAAUUCAGAUAAACCUUCACUGGAGUUUCCAGCUUGUGGCCUGCUCUACGUGGUUUGGACUUGCCAAUCCCCACAGUCAUGUGAAUUCCUAUAAGAAUUCUCAUAAUAUUUACACAUAGACACAUCCUGUCGAUUCUGCUUCCUUGGAGAACUCUGACACAUACAGUGUGUUAACUCUGGGAUUUAGCCCCUGAGAUAUCUGUUCCUUAACUUUGUAUCCAGUUAAUGAUAUGACAGAGAUUUUCUUGAGUGCCAGGAUUAACAAAAACAAACACCUGGUGUAAUAAAUACCUU